CCUCCCGCUCCGGCCCGGCUGGUGAGCCAGAGUCUGCCCGAGUUGGCUGGAGCUGUUGCCAUGACAAGCAUUUUCUCAAGAAAGCUCUGCUGUUGAAACCGUCUAAAGCUGGGGGUUGAAAGGGGGCACGAACUUCCUGGGGAACUAUCCCUCCGAGGAGAGUAAGACCAGAGACACCCGCCCAGCUCCCCUGCACCCUUUCCUUCCAGAAACCUGAGAGGUCCUUCCCUUUGGGAGGGCCGGGGGAGGAGACCCAGCCCACUCCCUGGUCGUGGCUGGAAAGGCAGAAGAGACCAGCCAGCAUCUCCGGCGUGGUUGCCACAUUGGACCGCUGGGUGGUCACCCCCACCCUACCCCUGUGCAUGGACAGCCAGAGGGAGAGUCCCGCGUGGAGAAGCCUGGAUCUUUGCUAGAAAGAGAGAGAUCCUGUUGUCAUCGGUAUCCAGGGAACCCUCCUCUUCCUCCUCCUCCUGCCACCUCUCUACCACUGCAGUCGCUGGUUGUUGCUAAGAUUGCCUCCAUGGUAACAUGCACAUCCUGUUUACACCUCCAUCUGUGCAAGUUGGUCUAAGCUAGGAACCUACCUACCCUGGACAACCACUUCCAUCACCACCUGGGGACACCAAUCAUCGUGACACGUGGUCCAGUUCCACUCAGUUCCCCCAUCCUCUUCCUCCUCCUACUGCCAAGCUUCAUACCCAGAAAAGGAUCUGGACUACGGGUUGCUACUCUGAAGCUUAUUGCACAAGAUAUAGUCGAUCUAUUUCCCGUCUGGGCUCCCAGUGAAGCAAAAAGUAAGAAGAAGUGAGGCAGAGAGGCAAGAGACCCUGAUCAGUGGAAGGGAAAUUUCACAUUUUCUCUGGUUGAGGGGCUUGGUAACAGCAGGCAAAAUGACAAACCCAACAGAACACGCCUUGCCAGCCAACUCGAUAAUUGAGAGCCAUGAAGGGGAAUUUGGCUGCACGGUAAUGGACCUGAGGAAGCUCAUGGAGCUGCGUUCAGCUGAUGCAAUAAACCAGAUCAAUGUCCACUAUGGAGGAGUAAUGAAUCUCUGCAGUAGACUGAAAACCAACCCGGUGGAAGGCCUAUCUGGAAACCCUGCAGAUCUGGAGAAACGUAAACAACUAUUUGGACAAAACUUGAUUCCCCCCAAAAAGCCCAAGACCUUUUUAGAAUUAGUGUGGGAAGCCCUUCAGGAUGUCACACUCAUCAUCCUGGAGAUCGCGGCCAUCAUCUCCCUGGUCCUGUCCUUCUAUCGCCCCCCUGGGGAAGAAAAUGAACAGUGCGGUCUAGCCGUAACUAGCCCAGAAGAUGAAGGGGAGGCAGAAGCCGGCUGGAUUGAGGGGGCAGCCAUCUUAUUCUCAGUGAUCAUCGUGGUACUAGUGACUGCCUUCAAUGAUUGGAGCAAAGAGAAGCAAUUCCGGGGGCUGCAGAACCGCAUUGAAAAGGAACAGAAAUUCUCCGUUAUCCGAAAUGGUCACAUCAUUCAGCUCCCUGUGGCUGAGAUCGUGGUGGGGGACAUUGCCCAAAUCAAAUAUGGUGACCUGCUGCCUGCAGAUGGAAUCCUGAUCCAGGGCAAUGAUCUCAAGAUUGACGAGAGCUCUCUGACUGGGGAAUCGGACCAUGUCAAAAAGUCCCUGGAAAGAGACCCCAUGUUGCUCUCAGGGACCCAUGUCAUGGAAGGUUCUGGCCGAAUGGUAGUGACUGCUGUGGGUAUCAACUCUCAGACUGGAAUCAUCUUUACCCUCUUGGGGGCCAGUGAGGGGGAAGAGGAAGAGAAGAAGAAGAAAGGUAAAAAACAAGGAGUCCCUGAAAAUCGCAACAAAGCAAAGACUCAGGAUGGAGUGGCCUUGGAAAUCCAGCCACUCAACAGCCAGGAGGGGAUCGACAAUGAGGAAAAGGAGAAAAAGGCAGCCAAGCUGCCCAAAAAGGAGAAGUCGGUGCUGCAGGGCAAGCUGACGCGCUUGGCUGUACAGAUUGGGAAAGCUGGUCUGAUCAUGUCUGCAAUCACGGUUCUCAUCCUGAUUCUGUACUUUGUGAUCGACAACUUUGUGAUCCAGCGCAAACCAUGGCUGGCUGAGUGUACUCCCAUCUACGUCCAGUACUUUGUCAAGUUCUUCAUCAUUGGCAUCACUGUGCUGGUGGUGGCUGUGCCAGAGGGGCUGCCACUGGCAGUCACCAUUUCACUGGCUUACUCUGUGAAGAAAAUGAUGAAAGACAAUAACCUGGUACGGCACUUGGAUGCUUGUGAAACAAUGGGCAAUGCCACGGCCAUCUGCUCCGAUAAGACAGGCACAUUGACCAUGAACCGCAUGACUGUGGUGCAGGCUUAUAUCGGAGAAACCCGUUACCAUCAAAUCCCAAGCCCUGAUGUCCUUGUGCCCAAGGUCCUGGACCUUCUUGUCAAUGGUAUUUCUAUCAACAGUGCCUACACCUCCAAGGUUCUGCCUCCGGAGAAGGAGGGCGGCCUGCCGCGGCAGGUGGGCAACAAGACCGAGUGCGCCCUGCUGGGCUUCGUCACGGACCUGAAGCAGGAUUACCACGCCGUGCGCAGUGAGGUGCCUGAGGAGAAGCUCUACAAGGUGUACACCUUCAACUCGGUGCGCAAGUCCAUGAGCACCGUCAUCGAGAAGCCCCGCAGUGGCUACCGCAUGUACAGCAAGGGUGCUUCUGAGAUCAUCUUGCGCAAGUGUAAUCGAAUCCUGGACAAGAAAGGAGAAGCAGUGCCGUUCAAGAAUAAGGACCGAGAUGAGAUGGUCCGCACCGUCAUCGAGCCCAUGGCCAGUGAGGGACUCCGGACUAUCUGCAUAGCUUACCGGGAUUUCAAUGACGGAGAGCCCCCAUGGGACAAUGAGAGCGAAAUCCUCACUGAACUGACCUGUAUUGCAGUGGUGGGCAUUGAGGAUCCUGUGCGCCCAGAGGUGCCGGAAGCUAUUGCCAAAUGCAAACGAGCUGGUAUUACUGUCAGAAUGGUGACAGGUGACAACAUCAACACAGCCCGGGCCAUCGCCACCAAAUGUGGCAUUGUGACACCUGGGGAUGACUUUCUGUGCUUGGAGGGCAAGGAAUUCAACCGACUCAUCCGAAACGAGAAGGGCGAGGUAGAGCAAGAAAAGCUGGACAAGAUCUGGCCUAAGCUCCGGGUGCUGGCGCGAUCCUCCCCCACUGACAAGCACACACUGGUGAAAGGCAUCAUCGACAGCACUGUUGGGGAACAGCGGCAGGUGGUGGCUGUCACUGGGGAUGGCACAAAUGAUGGGCCGGCUCUGAAGAAAGCAGAUGUUGGUUUUGCCAUGGGUAUUGCAGGCACGGAUGUGGCAAAGGAGGCCUCUGACAUCAUCCUAACAGAUGACAACUUCACCAGCAUCGUGAAGGCAGUGAUGUGGGGACGAAACGUCUACGAUAGCAUCUCCAAGUUCCUACAGUUCCAGCUCACUGUCAACGUGGUGGCUGUGAUCGUGGCCUUCACUGGAGCCUGUAUCACCCAGGAUUCCCCACUGAAAGCCGUGCAGAUGUUGUGGGUUAAUCUCAUCAUGGACACUUUUGCCUCAUUGGCCCUGGCCACAGAGCCUCCUACAGACUCUCUGUUGAAGCGUCGCCCCUAUGGCCGAAAUAAGCCUCUGAUCUCACGCACUAUGAUGAAGAACAUCUUGGGUCACGCCGUCUAUCAACUCACCGUCAUCUUUUUCCUUGUCUUUGCCGGUGAGAAGUUCUUUGACAUUGAUAGUGGGAGGAGAGCACCUCUGCAUUCACCACCCAGCCAACACUACACCAUUAUUUUCAACACCUUCGUGCUGAUGCAGCUCUUCAAUGAAAUCAACUCCCGCAAGAUCCAUGGAGAGAGGAAUGUCUUUUCGGGCAUCUUCCGCAACCUCAUCUUCUGCUCUGUGGUCUUGGGCACAUUCGUCAGCCAGAUUAUCAUUGUGGAAUUUGGGGGGAAACCCUUCAGCUGUACGAACCUCACCCUGUCCCAGUGGUUCUGGUGUCUCUUCAUCGGUUUUGGAGAAUUGCUGUGGGGCCAGGUCAUCUCCACAAUACCUACCCAAUCCCUGAAGUUCCUAAAGGAGGCUGGGCAUGGCACCACCAAAGAGGAGAUCACCAAGGAUGCUGAGGGGCUGGACGAGAUUGACCAUGCAGAGAUGGAGCUGCGCCGAGGCCAGAUCCUCUGGUUCCGGGGCCUGAACCGUAUCCAGACUCAGUUUCCCCGUCAGUGCCCCUCACAUCCCCCUCACAAGGCAGAGACCCUGGCUUCCCCCUGAGCCUCGCUGCGGAGCACCACACCCAGAGGAGCUCGCCCCUCCUGCAGUCGGCAUCGCAGCUACAUCCAGGAGUCAGCAAUUUAGGAAGAGCCAGGGAAAGUGGCAGACAGGCUGGCAAGCAGAUGACGAUUAAGAGAAGGCUUAGAAGGAGGAGCUGAAGCCAGAGACGGUCCUGGGAUAAUGGAUGUCACCAUACCGACCCGCUCAGAAAUCAGAGCGAGGACCUCACAGCCCAGCACUCUGCAGGGAACCCUCGGCAGCCCAGACACAGCUAAAGACCACAACAGCAGCAUCUUUUCUGGGUUUGCGGGGCUCCUUGCCAUCCUCCUGGUUGUCGCAGUUUUCUGCAUCCUGUGGAACUGGAGCAAAUGGAAGAAGUGGCGAGUUCCUUACUUCCAAGUUACCGUCAUGCCCUUGUUGACUCUGCCUCGACCCAGACAAGGAGCCAAAAAUAUUUAUGACCUCUUGCCCCGAAGACAAGAAGAGCUGGGAAGACAUCCGUCAAGAAGUAUUCGUAUUUUCAGUACCGAGAGCCUCCUCUCCAGAAAUUCUGACAGCCCUCCCUCCGAGCAUGUGGUAAGAGCCAAGUGAAAUGACAACCCGUUUGGGAGAAAUGAUAUGUCUCUGGCAGAAGAGCUGAAGUGCAAGAGUGCUAGGUCUUGGCUCUAAGCCUCUGCAAACAGCAUGUCCUUUGGCACACACACACCACCCGCCUGCCCCCCACCCCCGAGGCCCUAUUAAUAAAUUGGGAAGACUAGCCUCAGGACUUCCCUACCACCCAAGGCAAAAAAUUUAGAAAGAGAGGAGCAAGCACUUGGGAUUUUAGGAAAGGCACCAGGGCACGUGUAUUCAAGGACACGAUGUUAGAACUGAAAUGUGUUUUCCAAAUGAGUGUUGUCCCCUUCAAAGUAAUCACCUUGGGAGGGUACCGAAAUAUUCCAACAGUGCUGUUGGUACUCAAAAUACUCUUAAAGUCCUACUUUGACAAUUACUUCUGAGCCUAUGUCUAAUUGUUUCAAUCCUCCUCCAUAGCAGAAAUACUAGUAAGUUCACUCAGCACUGUAACUGGUGUAGAAAACACUGAGCACGUCGGGGAUACCUUUGAGGUUACAAGGGGACCAUUACAAUUAAUAACAAUAAUCCCUUGUGUCUUGUAGUCUGGCUCUGAAGGCAGCUCCCCAGGAGGAGUCACACCAGAGACAGUAGAGGGACUAUUUUGAAGAUCAGGGUGCUUAUUUCCAUAGAUAAGUUCUCAUUAGCUUGUUAAAAGAAUCAGUUCCUUUGGUUUUGUGACCAUCCUUGGGUAAGUACAGCCAUGCUGCAGCUGCUGCUAAUUCGGUUGUUACCUAGCCUUUCUUCACCCAGGGGCUUAGGUUGAUUACCAUGCGGCCGCUCCAUGUUGCCACCUUUGCUUCCCCUUCCUCUUGCAUGUCCCAUCCUUGGGCUCUGCUCCUGCUUCUAAAACUUCCUGGGGCAGCAAGUCUAAGGGGCUGAUAAAAGGAAGAGCGGAGGAAACUCCACUGCUAAAGCGACUUCUAGGACUCAGGGGGGCCCUGAGGGAAUUUUGCAUCUAGAGUUUAGAUUUCAAACUGGCUUAAGCCCACAAACAUGUUUGGAUUGUACUCUGUAGUGUUUGAAGGACAUUUUGAACCAGUUGGCAACAUUCAAAAACCUAAAAGAUUUCAUAUUAAAGUCCAGAUGUCCAGCUUUUCUUGAAAAUCAGAAGUUCUGGAAACAACAGACUAGCAUCUCUAAUUGGCCAUAAGCAGCUGACCUGCGUGUCAGCUGCCCCUAUACUAAUAUAACAACAAGCAUUUUUUAGUGUUUUCUUUGUGCCAGGAGCUAUUCUAAACACUUUACGGUCCGUAAUCCAUUUACUCCUCACAAAACCCUCAUGGUGUAGAUAUUAUUAUGAUUAUACCCAUUUUAUAAGUUAGGAAACUAAGGCACAGUGAGAUUAGGUAACUUGCCCAAACUGAGCACAGAGUGGUGAGGCCUGGGACUUGCACCCACAGUCUGAGCCUAAGCCUCUACCUUUAACCACUAUGCCACGCCUCAGUGUGCUCUGGGGUGUGGCAGGCUCUCUCCAAUUCCUAAUACUUCCCCCACUCCCCAUUGAAACCCCACAGUGUGGCCAAAAAUCUGUUGCAAUUUAUUCUCAAAUUUACACUGCUGCUUUCCUUAAACUCAGCCUACUUCACCUAUUCCUACCUAGCAUCUGAAGCCUUGAGGUUUGAGAUCCCUGAUUCAGACCUUUUCUCCAAAGUGAAGAACUGAGAGGAAGAACCAUUAGAUGUAGUAGUACUGGGCAGGGAAGAAGAAAGGUUUUGUCCAUGUUUCUACUUCUAUCCUGUCACUGGCUUUUUCUUCUUACUCAUAGCCCUCCCAAGCAGGUGAUGCCCUCCAUGUGCACAGAGCCCAUACUCAUGCCAUGGGGUAUGCAGUGGGCAUCUAUGACAAUACCAUGGGGCCCCAGAUGUAUGGAAACCUCACUCCCUCAGCGCACUAUGUCAAUGUCAGAGCUUCAAGAGAUUGCCCAAGCACUUCUUCAGAGGAUUCAAGAGAUUAUGUCAAUAUCCCCACAGCAAAGGAGAUUGCUGAGACUUUAGCUUCUACCAACAGCCCUCCUGGGAACCUCUUCAUCCUCCCAAGUACCAAGGUGCUGGAGUUGACUGAAGAAAUAGAUGAGGGCUGUGGGAACGCCAGUGACUACACCAGUUUGGGGUCUCCAGGAACUGAGAGCAGUUAUCCACUCAACGAUGGCGAAGGGUCUUCUCAGACCUCAAAUGAUUAUGUCAACAUGGCAGUGUUGGAUCUCGAGACCAUCCAAGGGAAGCAGCCCUGGGGAACUUUUCAGUGCUGCAGAGAUUAUGAAAAUGUACCACCAGAUCCCAGUGGAAACCAGCAGCGGGAGGAGAAGGAAGCCACAUCCUCAAACACAGACCAUGUAUAGGGCAGGGCAGAUGGUCCAGAGACCCACAUCCAACCUGUCAUGCAGUCAGGGAGUUUCCUGGCCUUAAAGGAUUAUGUGGCCUAUCAGUCAUCUGCACAGAGUGAGAACAGUCAGAUGAAACAUGGAGAAGAGAUGUCAAAUGAAGACUCUCAUGACUACAAGAAUGUGUGAGCUGCCAAGGUAGGAGCUAGGGACUUUGAGCAGGGGCCUGACACAUGGCUCCUUCCUGAUGAAUUAACACCCAGCCACCCAGCUGGAAAGUCACGUGAGUGGUCUAUCCUGCCGGAUCCAUAGCCAUUACAGGGUCUAGUGAAGACCCUUGACCACCCUUGUAUUUCAGUGCAUUCGUUUGGUUACGCUAAAAAGAAGCUGAAAUGAGUAGGAAGCUAAGAGGCUCACAAAAGCAGAGGUUUGAGAAAGUCAGAAAGAAAUUCUUCUCAGGCAGGGUGCUGUUACCUCUCAUACCAACUUAAGAAUGCUGAAACUGCCUUAUAGGUCUGUGAGGAGGUUAAAAAUGGAAGAGUGCUUUAGUACACAGUGGAAACAUGAAGUAGUCUAAAAUCAUUACCUUCACUAAUACCAGCAGGCUGCAAAGCAGGAAUACAGAUUAUUUGGUAAUCCAGGCAGAGGCCAAAAGGAACAAGGAAGUUGGGCUGGGGUGGGGGGACAGUUUCCACUCUAAAAUGAGUGUGGACAACCAAACGCUGGAGAAAAUGCAGAACAAUAGGAACUCUCGCUCAUUGCUGAAGGGAUUGCAAGGCAUAACAUUCACUCUGGAAAACUGUUUGGCAGAUUUUUUUGUUUGUCUUUUUUUUUGUGGUACGCAGGCCUCUCACUGUUGUGGCCUCUCCCAUCGCGGAGCACAGGCUCCGGACGCGCAGGCUCAGCGGCCAUGGCUCACGGGCCCAGCCGCUCCGCGGCAUGUGGGAUCCUCCCGGACCGGGGCACGAACCCGCGUCCCCUGCAUCAGCAGGCAGACUCUCAACCACUGUGCCACCAGGGAAGCCCAUUUGGCAGUUUCUUAUAAACAUAAACCUAUUAUACAGCCCAGUCAUUCCACUAUUAGGUAUUUAUCCAAGUGUGAAAUUUGUAUUCACAAAAAAACCCAUACAAUGACUGUUUAUAGCAGCUUUAUUCAUAAUUGCCAAAAUCUAGAAAUAACCCAAAUGUCUUUCAACAGGUGAAUGGAUAAACAAGUGUCCUAUAUCCACACGAUGAGUUUAUCCACACUCAGCAGUAAAAAGGAGUGAAGUAGGUUCAUGCAACAACAUGGACAAAUAUUAAACGUAUUUUGCUGAGUGAUAGAAGCUAGACCUAAAAAUCUACAUAUUGUAUGGUUUCAUUUAUAUGACAUUCUGAAAAAGGCAAAACUAUAGGGGUGGAAAACAGAUCAGUGGUUGGCAGGUUUGGGGAGAGGGAAGGGGUUUACAACAAAGAGCUGUACAAGGGAAUUUUUAGGAUAAUUGUUCUGUAUUGUACUAUGAUGAUGGAUACAUGACUGUAUUCAUUUGUCAAAACACACACACACAAAAAGCUGUAUAGCACAAAGGGUGACUUUUAUCAUAUGCAAAAUUUUUAAAAAUUCACCACGCUGUCAGGGGAACCCACAAUAAAAUGCAGAUUGUAAAAAAUGAAUCUAACUGUUUCACAAAUGUAUGAUAUAAUCUCACUGAAGGGAGUGGGGGAAAAAAUGAGCUGGCCUAAGUAACUUUGGAAAACAAUGUUUUGCUUGAAACUGUAAGCUAAAGACACAAAGAACUGAAAACAAACACUGCAGUCUAGUUGGUAAAUUUGUAGGGCAUACUUGAAUUGAACAAAUAAGUAAAUAUAUUACAGGUAGGGAGAGGCAGGUUUCUUGCUGUCAGAGAAAGAAGUGACAAAUAAGCAAGUAGAAAAGGAAAUAUAGACGUGUAUAUACAUAGGCUAGUAUACAUAUAUACUUCCUAACUCUGUCCACUGGAGGGUCUAGCAGCAAUCAUGGUCCAGUAGCAGUGAAUGCACUUAGCUCUCAGACCUUGGUUUCUAAACUUGGUAGACACCACCUUAACCAUGUGAUCAAGGUCAACUCACCAGUAAUAAGUUAUACUGCUAUAUGAUCAAGGAGAAGGGUACUUCAACGCCAUGGUAUUCUUCCCCCAAAUCCACAACCCCAGUCUUAUCAUGAGAAACAUCAGAAAACUCAAAUUGAAUGACAUUCUACAAAUACCUGACUGGAACUCUUAAAAGUGUUAAAGUCAUGAAAGACAAGGGAAGACUGGAGAAACUGUCAGACUGGUGGAGACUAAGAAGACAUGAUGACUAAAAUAUAACAUGAUGCCUUGGAUGGGAUCAUAGUACAGGAAAAGGGCAUUAGUGGAAAAAAUGGUGAAAUGAAAAACAAGAAAGUCCAUAUUUUAGUUAAUAGUAUUGUAUCAAUGUUAAUUUCUUAGUUUUGAUCAAUGUGCCAUGGUUAUAUAAUUAACAUUAGGGGAAGCUGGGUGAAGGGUAUACAGGAACUCUCUGUACUAUCUUUGCAACUCUUCUGUAGGUUAUGUCAAAACAAAAAAUAAUUUUAAAACAUGGACAAAGCUGGAAGUGAAGACAUCUGGGCUCAUUCCACUUAAAUAAAUGUGCCUUUGUUCCUUUUUCUGCAAAAUGGACAUAAUAUAAAGCAUAUGCUACUGUAA